AAAAGAAUCACAAAGGAGUUCUCUUAAAAUACAAGAGAAACAAACUGCUUGUUUGAAAAAGAAAAAUAUGAAUUGAAAAUUACAUUUAAAUUUAAAAAAUAUUUGCCUAUUUAUUCGAUGAUUUUGCCAAUCGUGCGAGUGUUUCUUGGAACGACUUAUUAGGCAAUGCGAUGUCACGUGAUUCAGACGCGGGAUAUCAACAAACCACGCGGCCAAGCUGCCCAGCUAGUCUAACCCUAAAGGGUUUUAAUUUGCCGGUAAUAACAAGACGGUGUCAUUUUCCUCCUCGUCCUCAGAAAUAUCUGGAUCAUUGACUAUUGAACUGGAUGAAGCUGUGAGAAAGGCCAAAAUUGAAGUACAUAUUUUGGAAAACCAUAUAUCGGAAAGUGAAUUAUCUGGAUGGACCCCGUCAUAAAAAUUUUGGUUUCCUGUUGGGUAAUUAAUUCCUCUGAGGGAACUUGACUGUGAUGGAACUUUCUUUUUUCAAUUUGAUAAUUUUGAAAAUUUCUGAGAGACACAGGAGGAAUAGUGGUAUAUUGGAUGGUAGAACAGUUGGCAGUUAAUGGUGGAAUUUCUUUAAAGGUGUUUUCAAUACUGUGAAUCAAGGACUGAAUUUUGCUGAGUGAAUGGUUGUAGAUAAUUUCGGUGCCAGAUUGGUGUGUAAUUUUUUCCGUUAGAUUGCAGAUACCUCCCAUGAAAACAACAUGAUAAGAUUUGGAAUUUUCAGUUUGAAUAAAGUGUUUAGCCUCACGGCUAAGCCUUUCAACAGAAGCCCCAGGUUUAAAAAUAAAAGAAACGAGCCAGUCAGGUGGAAAUGGGUGAACUCUCUGGAUAUACGAGUGGAAUCCUCUCCCUCUUGAGUCAGAAGCAAUUAAUAUAUGCAUUCUCUAAAGUAAUAAAAAAAGGGACUAGAAGAGAGCCAGAAAAGGGUGAUGAAGUGAGCUGUGCGGAAAAAGGGAUGGCCAACAUCCUCAGAAAACACAGAAGAACAAUGCUGAUUAAAAUUUAACCAAAACAAGCAACAGAGUUGAACCAGUAAGUUUUGGGAUGGUCAUCGUCCUCAGAAAACACAGAAGAACAAUGCUGAUUAAAAUUUAACCAGAACAGCAACAGAGUUGAACCAGGAUGGCCAACGUCCUCAGAAAACACAGAAGAACACUGCGGAUUAAAAUUUAACCAGAACAAGCGAUGGAGUUGAACCAGGAUGGUCAUCGUCCUCAGAAAACACAGAAGAACAAUGCUGAUUAAAAUUUAACCAGAACAGCAACAGAGUUGAACCGGGUUGGUCAUCGUCCUCAGAAAACACAGAAGAACAAUGCUGAUUAAAAUUUAACCAGAACAGCAACAGAGUUGAACCAUAGUUGUUGGCGUAUUGACUCUAUGACAGACCCUGUCUUCAUUGAGGAGAAUGGAAGGGUGCCAGGCAAAGUCAGGAUCUGUGUCAUCUUUUCCAGUUGACUUUGCCCUAGAAAGGGCGACAAAAAGGGCACCUGGAUUUCUGGAUUCAAAUGAUCGUGUGCCAGGAUUUACAACUAUAUAUCUAUUCACUUCCCCCUUUCCUAUGGUCAUUCCUUGACAACGAUGAACGGUUGUUGCCCAUCCUAAACGCAGUGGGAUUUGUUUUCUUUUGCAAAAGUGACAUCUACAAUCUAUAUUUCUCUCCACUGGGAAUAUUGGAACAAUUUUUGGAUAAGAAGAUAGGAAAGGGGGACCAGUGUAAUUAGAUUGCUCCACUGAAAUUGUUGCAACCAUUUGGCCUGACUUGGAGUAACUUUGUAUUGACGAAGAGCUGAAAGGACCUCCUUCAAUUCAUGUUCUUGUUCUCCUUGGCGUAUGAUUGAUUUUAAAGUAACAGCUGUCUGAAAUUCUUGCCACACCAGAACACCGUGCAUUGAGGCUGAAUUUUUACUUUUAGAGUGAUAAACUGGGGCAUCCAAAACUGGUGGAAGUUGCACAUCAUCCCCUAAAAAUACAACUACUGGGAUUCCUCCCCAUGUCUGAUCUGAAAUGCCAGUGCCACAUCUACAGUGAAACUCCAUCCACCCUAAGGUAUUAGAACCAAUUAAUGACCUUUCAUCAAUAAGAAGGACGUGGAGGUCAGAUAAAUUCUCCUGGAGGCUUUCCCCUAUAGAACCCUCUGGUGCUUUCAUUUCUCUUCCUUUGAACUGGGUGGGUAUUUUAAGGAAACUGUGCAGUGUUACUCCAGAUAUUAAGUUUGCACUAUUGCCUGUUGGACAAAGAACCUGAACAGAUUUAUUUGAGUUAAAAAAGAGGCGAAUGGCUUUAACUAAACAUUUGAUAAGAAAAGAUUUUCCUGAUCCAGCUGUACCUGACACAAUCAUGCGAAGGGGCUUGUACUCAUGUGAUUUGUUUGAAAAAUUCAGGAGUGUUUUCAUAACAAUAUUAAAUGCUAACAUUUGUUCUUGAUUCAAUUUAAGGAGAUCUACAUUUGGAAUGUUUAAGGACUUGUCAUCUAUGUUGGCAGCUUUGGUCACAGUAUUCCACCAGUCUUCACCGAAGUCAUUUGGAUAAUCAAAUGAUGUUUUGCUCCAGUCAUGUUCGGGGCCACCAUCUUCAAAAUUAAAAUCAGUGCAAACUUCACUAAAAUCGGGAUUGGGGCGUAUGACUUCCAUCCAAUCAGGCUGUUCCACUUCAUUGUUUUCAAUAUUGUCUUUGGGUAAGGAAUCAUCUUGUUUUUUAGUCUUUGCCCUCUCAAUGUCUGCUUUAAUAAAAUUUGGACAAGUAUCUAAUUGUAAAAACAGAGAAAAUUGUUCUGUCCAAGAUAUAUUUUCAUCUUUAAUAUCUGAAAGUGUACGCCAGUUUGGCCAGUGAAGCAAUAAUGAAGUUUUACAGUAAUUUUCAUCUAAUGGCCAGUGUGCCUGAGUGGGACCAGAAAUGACGGGGACUUUACCACUUUUGCAAAUGAAUUGAUAUAAUGAAGAAUUAUCGUUUUCAUCUCUGGAAAUAUAUUUAUCAACAAUUGUGGAUUUCGUAAUUGUAGUAUUUCCAGAUUGUUCAAGUACUCUACAUCCUGAUAAGCUAACUGAUUGAAAACAAUGACUAGAGCGAUAAAGAGGAAUGGAAGAAAGUUCAUAAGAUGCUUCAACUGAAGAAAUGUCCCUUUUAACUGUGUCCAUUAAAAGCUUUGUACAGAGUGAUUUUGCAGUUGCCCCUGAAGAUUCAUCUGCACAAUUGACCAUAUCAGAGAAGAGAUCUGAAAGAGCACCAGUGGGUUCAUUUCCCUUGCAUGCAUAACCUGAUAUGUAUUUUUCGGUCGCAAUAAUUUCAUCUACAGAGGGAUUGGAAGGAUCACUUUUUGACAGAAUAAGAGAAAUAUCACCGUUUGCCCUCCAGCCUUGCGUAUGGAAACGAGAAUGUUGAACAAGAACAGGGUGGUCUCUAUUCAUUUCUAGACGCAAAGAUCCAUUUCGGUCUUUCACUAAAGCAGGUGAUGCACGUAAUUGCUUAGGAAAUUCCAUUCUGCAAGUUUUUUCAGAAUUAUUAUAUCGAGAAGGUUGCAGGCAGUAAUCUGAGCAACGGUGCAGAUUGAAACGAUUUGAUAAAAGCAAGUGAUCUUCCAAAAGUGUUUCUUGGGAGGUGCUAACAUCCAGGAGAAGUUUCAACAGGGGAUUUUUUUCUUCGGGAGGAGGAGGAGCAGUACCCUCUGGAGGAGGCCACAAGUUUCUGUUUGGAUUGCCAUCUUCAUCCUUACCAGCAGGAUGAGAAGCAGUAAGUCCAAAGAUUUCUGAAGCCCAAUGAGAGAGUUUUUCUGCACAUUGUUCCUCAGAAAGACCAGCAGAAAUUGCAUUGUGUAACAAAUCAUGAGGCUCUCUAUCUGACCUCCAACAAAGACCAUGCCAGUGGACCAUACCUCUGGAUUUGGCAAACUCUUGCCUGUACCAGUAGGAGUCAACACCAAAAACAGGACCCAUUACAUUUUUGAAAUAUGACUGUGUUCUUAGAUCAAAGUAUUGUGCAACAAUGUGUGUAUUUUCCUGAAGAGUUUUAAAAAGGAUAUUUCUAUCAGUUAGAUCAAUAGAGUUUCCAGUAGUUUCAGAAACAUACUUUGAAAGCAGUCGUCUGAGUGGUUUAAAGUGAAAUUCUGCACAACUGCCAGUAGUAAAAAAUGAUGGCAGACCUGCACCUUCAUUUAUUUUAUAUUGAACCAAAGCUCUUAAUUCCUUGCCCCUCUGCUCCCAAUACUGAGAAGUCCCCCUUAAAUUUCCCCCAAAGUAGAGAAUUUUUUUUGAAACUGAUGUAUCACCAUUUUCAAUAAGUUUUUUCAACUCUGUAAUUGUAAAUUGUUGGUCACCAAGUUUCUGUUUAAUUAUAAAACUACUUUGUUCUAAAGCUCUUUUUCGCAUAAUCAUGUUGUGAACAACAAAUUUAAAAUAGGGGUGUUUUGCAAACCUGCCGUCUGCAUACCAUAAUAAAUGGUCAGCCCAUUGCCCCAUACAUGAUACAGUGAUUGGUCUAUUAAUGUAAUAAUCUCCGGACCCAUAGGGAAAGAGUGCAGGGAAAGCAAGGGUAAAAAAAUGUUUCGUCGUAAAUUCAGAUACGGGAGUGUCGCCUUUUGAAGGCCAAGGAAUAGUAACAGUGCCCUGUCUAUUAACAGUAACGUCCCCAUGAUUUUCACCUAAAAUUUCUUCAAUUAUUUUCUGGACCUUCUGUUGAAUAUUUACAUUAGCGUCUGGUAGUUGGGCACCAGAAUUUGUAAAACCCUCAGUUACACCUAUAUCUAUUUGUUCAGAUGAUGGUCCUUUGUCAUGAAUAUGAGCAGUAUUUUCUUUGAAUUGUAAUGUCAUUAUGUCUGUUAAUUGUCCAUCUUCAGGAAUUGCUUGUAACCUGUUUGUACUUAUUAUGAUAUCGGAAUAGGCUGGAUUGUUUUUUUUUAACCAUCUUAAAGAUUGUUCGAUUUUUAAACGACGGACUCUGAAGUCCUUAGAUGUUUCAUUUUUCCCCUGUUUUCUAACUUUAAUAAUUUGAAUUUCAUGUGGUAAUCUAGGAAAAAUUCUGGCUGGUUCAUUUAUUUCUUGAGGAAAUGUGACGCAAUGACCAGAUGAAGCAAUACCCCCAUGACUUAACAUAUGGACAUUUAUACAUGGAGCUAUCCUACUAAUAAGUUGCUGCUCUAUGACAGUUAAAUCUUGGAGUUCUUCAGGUACAGUGCCUGGGUUCAUAUUGUUUUCUGUUGAGAACAUUUUGAUUUGAUUCUUAUCCCUAUAGCAACGCCUACAAAUAUCAUUUUUGGCCAUGUUCAUUUCAAGUCUUCUCUCAUGACAGACUGAACAAAAUUGAAAAGAAUAAGACAUUUGUUGAAUUUCGAAAGCCCUAAUAGAAUCCAUAGCUUUAUUGUAAUGAGCAUUUUCAUCAAGAGGGGGAGGGGGUGGAAUAUCGUCAGGAUUCAAUUUAUAUUUUUCUGAUUGUGCUUUAAUAUUUCGCAGAAUUUUUUUUCUCCUUGCUGUAUAAAUUUGAUAAGUUUCAUUUUCACUGGGCUCUUCAUAUUUUAGACCAAAUUUCCUACAAAGUUCUUGAAGUUUUUUUUCAUGUUCAGGGGCAAAUUUUUGAGUUUUUGAUUUUUUCUUUUGCUGAGGUGUCAAUGACGAAUUUGACCUAAUGUCAGCAUGUCUUUUUCUGAUAUUUGCAUUGUUUGACUUUUCAUUUUCAGUACAUGCUGUAAAUGUGAUAUUUGCAUUGUUUGACUUUUCAUUUUCAGUACAUGCUGUAAAUGUGUUAGGUAAUACAGACUGCUGAUAAUCUAAUUUUUUUCCUUCAUUAGUAUGAUAUUCUGCUUUUUCUUGAACACCAAUGUCCAUACCUUGAGUUGGGAAGACAUUUGCAUAAGAAUGUUCAAAGAUAGUAAAGUCAGUAUUUGUAUUUUGUUUGUUGGAACAAUGUUUUGCAUAUGAAUGCUCUGUGAGAUCAUUCAGGUGAACAUUUUUGUUGAAUACUUCUUCACAAUUUGCAUAAGAAUGCUCAAAUAAAACAUACUGGUCAACA